rnacentral:tRNA from 1 species
GAGAUAGAGCUCAGUUGGUAGAGUGCUUGCCUCCCAUGCAAAAGGCCCUGGGUUCAAUCCCCAGCACA